rnacentral:rRNA from 1 species
UACAGAGGUCCCAAGCGUUGUUCGGAUUCACUGGGCGUAAAGGGUGCGUAGGUGGUUGGGCAAGUCUGAUGUGAAAUCUCCGGGCUUAACCCGGAAAUGGCAUUGGAAACUGCCCGGCUAGAGUGUUGGAGGGGGGACUGGAAUUCUCGGUGUAGCAGUGAAAUGCGUAGAUAUCGAGAGGAACACCAGUGGCGAAGGCGAGUCCCUGGACAACUACUGACACUGAGGCACGAAAGCUAGGGGAGCGAAUGGG